UUGCAAUACCAUUCUUUGAGCGAAAAUCGUUGAACUGCUCAGAGAUGUAUUCCCCUCCCCUAUUCAUUCUCAGCAUUUUUACUUUUUCUCCUACUUGUUAUUCGAGAAUUGCUUUGAAUUCCUUGAAUUUGGAGGAAGCGUCCGAUUUAUUCUUGAGGAAGUAAAUCCAAGAUUUUCAUGAGAAGUCAUCUGUUAGGGUCAUGAAGUAACGAGCCUUUCCGAUUGACCCUAGGGUGAUCAGACCGCAAAGGCCAAAUUGGAUGGUUUCGAGUAUAUGCUUCGCUCUGGAGAGACUCUUCUUGGGAAAGGAUCUUUGUGCUUGUCUUUCGUUUUGACAACUUUUGUAGACGGCAGCUAUCAAUGGUAGUCUCGGUAGUCCUUCUGCAGAGUUAUUAUGUGACAUGCGGUGUAGGCUCUUAUAGCUCAGAUGUCCCAUUUGAAGAUGCUAGAGGCGGGCUUUCUUGAUUUGUUCGGUGACAAGUGCUUCAAUCUCUUGCCCAAUGUUCGUGUAGGUGUUAUAUUGGAACCUGCAUUUCUAGAACAUUCUUUGAAGUUGCAAUUCUAAUGCGUCUUCAUCUGUGUGUUUGGUCUUAUUCUUGGUUCUUGUUUCCCACAAUUCGAGGCGGCCGGCGAGGUCUUCAAAGGUUAGCAUUUAGUGGGAGCCCGAGAUGUUUGUUACGAUACUGUCAAAGCUUGGUGGUAGCACGUUAAGCACUUCUUCCACUACCAUUGUGUCGCAUGGCAAUUCUCCAAUAUCAUUAAGUGAAUUGAUAAGUAUCUGAACUUCAGUUAGAAAUUCUAUUACGCUUGAUCCUUCUUCCAUUCGCAACUUGGUGAAAUUAGCUCGGAUAGCUAGUUUUCGUGCGUUGUUUUUGAUAUCAAAUUUCUUUUGCAUGUAUCCCCAGCCUUCUCUUGGGCAAGAUAUGUUGACAAUAAACGGCACAACGUUUUCUUGCACAGACAGUCGGAUUAUGGAGAGGACAUAUUUCUUGAGUUUGCCAACCAAACUUGGGUCUCUUGGAUCUGGUGGCUCUGCAGUAUUUGAACUACUCGAAGAUUCGUCAGCGGAGUUCACGAAUUCCCACAAGUCUUCCCAUUCUAGGAUUGUCUGAACUUUGAAUUUCCACUUAACAUAGUUAGAAGAACCUACAAGCUUGUAUUGUUCUGAAAGAUGGGUGUCUAUUGACGCCAUUGCUAUUAAUCAAGAAAAAAUCCUUAAGAUAUUCUAUCUCGACUAUGUACCUCGACUGUGCAUACAAUUCAAUUUCUCAGUCUCGAAUGGUGACUACUAUCUCUGAGAUUAACACCUCUCCAACAACUAUCAACAAUGGAGGAAAAAAGAAACGAGAGAAGUCACUCUCAGGUGUUCCUAGUUAUCAAAAGGUGCGGUCCCAAGGUUGCCUACCUCUUAGCUAGGAUUGUUCCAUGGUAAAAUCAACAAUGGAAUCGUGCAGAAGAGGAUGAGAAUGAAUAGAGAAAGGACAUGGUGUAUCCUACCUUUCAACUUUCUGGCAGGAGCCCUAAGCUAGAUCAUGUGUGACAUGGCCACCAAAGUUGUGUGAAGAUCUAUCGCUUUACACUUUUGUUUACACAUGAUAGUUCAAUCGCACAGACCACUGCUAGACUUCGAUAGGAUGACUACCACUUAAUAUCAAACUAAACCUAGGCUAAUACUAUGAUAUUCAAUUAUCAUUAAAUAGACUUAUAAUCUUAUAUAAAAAUACGAAUUCUAAAUCAUAUACUAAAUUGGAGAAUGCAAGAACAUGGGCAAGGAGCCAUGAGCUAUGAGCAAGAAACCAUGAGUGGUGUGCAAUUGAAUUAUUAUAUUUAGUACCUAUUUUUCAUUCAUUGAUUCCAUUGAA